rnacentral:rRNA from 1 species
CACGUAGGGCGCAAGCGUUGUCCGGAAUUAUUAGGCGUAAAGAGCUCGUAGGCGGUCCGUCACGUCCGCUGUGAAAACCCAGGGCUCAACCCUGGGCUUGCAGUGGAUACGGGCAGACUAGAGGUAGGUAGGGGAGAAUGGAAUUCCCGGUGUAGCGGUGAAAUGCGCAGAUAUCGGGAGGAACACCGGUGGCGAAGGCGGUUCUCUGGGCCUUACCUGACGCUGAGGAGCGAAAGCGUGGGGAGCAAACAGG